GGGCGGUUAGCUCAGUUGGAAGAGCAUCUCGUUUACACCGAGAGGGUCGGCGGUUCGAGACCGUCACCGCCCACCA
rnacentral:tRNA from 5 species